rnacentral:rRNA from 1 species
GACGAACGCUGGCGGCGUGCUUAACACAUGCAAGUCGAACGGAAAGGCCCUGCUUUUGUGGGGUGCUCGAGUGGCGAACGGGUGAGUAACACGUGAGUAACCUGCCCUUGACUUUGGGAUAACUUCAGGAAACUGGGGCUAAUACCGGAUAGGAUCUCCUGCUGCAUGGUGUGGGUUGGAAAGUUUCGGCGGUUGGGGAUGGACUCGCGGCUUAUCAGCUUGUUGGUGGGGUAGUGGCUUACCAAGGCUUUGACGGGUAGCCGGCCUGAGAGGGUGACCGGCCACAUUGCGACUGCGAGACGGCCCAGAAUCCUACGGGAGGCAGCAGUGGAGAAUAUUGCACAAUGGGCGGAAGUCUGAGGCAGCAACGCCGCGUGCGGGAUGACGGCUUUCGGGUUGUAAACCGCUUUCGCCUGUGACGAAGCGUGAGUGACGGUAAUGGGUAAAGAAGCACCGGCUAACUACGUG